rnacentral:rRNA from 1 species
GACGAACGCUGGCGGCGUGCUUAACACAUGCAGGUCGAACGGAAAGGCCCUGCUUUUGUGGGGUGCUCGAGUGGCGAACGGGUGAGUAACACGUGAGUAACCUGCCCUUGACUUUGGGAUAACUUCAGGAAACUGGGGCUAAUACCGGAUAGGAGCUCCUGCUGCAUGGUGGGGGUUGGAAAGUUUCGGCGGUUGGGGAUGGACUCGCGGCUUAUCAGCUUGUUGGUGGGGUAGUGGCUUACCAAGGCUUUGACGGGUAGCCGGCCUGAGAGGGUGACCGGCCACAUUGGGACUGAGAUACGGCCCAGACUCCUACGGGAGGCAGCAGUGGGGAAUAUUGCACAAUGGGCGGAAGCUUGAUGCAGCAACGCCGCGUGCGGGAUGACGGCCUUCGGGUUGUAAACCGCUUUCGCCUGUGACGAAGCGUGAGUGACGGUAAUGGGUAAAGAAGCACCGGCUAACUACGUG